rnacentral:misc_RNA from 1 species
UGCAGACUAAACAACUCUAAAUGAUGAUUUCUAAAAGAAUCCACGUCGUAGAGGAACCAAUCAGAAACGUUCUAUCGAUCGACGAAGCAAAAUUUUAAUUCGCCAUGUAGUUUUGACCGAAAGCAAAGGCUGCCGACUUUCAGGCAAGAUAGUUUUCUUCAUGUAAACACUUGAGACCAAACUAACGGCUCUGAGGGAAAAGAACGAUGUUCUUUUGUUCCUUGGACGAGAGGAGGCGAGCUGAGCAGAAUUAACAUCUUCCUUUCGCGGUUCUUCCUUCGCUGUCUGGCAACAAAAGAUAUUUGUGUUGGACUUAUUUCAGAGCCUCUCACUGUCUGUUACUGGUUGUCCACGGUGAAAGAACGAUGGAAUAAUUGUCAUUCCUUGGUAACCGCUGUUUUCGUAAUCGCCAAUAUCUUAACGCUAUUCUCUUUGAUGACAGUGACUACAACUAUUAUCGACAGAUUUCUCGCCUUGAAGUUGGGACUCAGAUACAAACAUGUGGUAACGCUAAGACGUCUUCGUAUAACUUUAGCUGCCUUUUGGAUCGUUUCGUUCGCCAUUGCAGUAAUUUCCUUGUUGAAUUUCCCCGCAUACCUAUGGCAUGUUUAUGUUGUUACAUCAUUAUGCUUGGUAACUGCAUCAUUCGCCUUCACCAAGAUAUUCUGCACUCUUAGUGCACAUCAGAAUCAAGUACUUGGCUCUGAGCAACAGAAAACUUCGUUGAACUUAAUGCGAAUUAAGAAGGAAGUGUCCAGCGCUUUUUGGGUGAAGUUGAAUAUGAUUGUUUGUUAUCUCCCGCAUAUUAUAGUUGGUGUGGUAGCGCAAGUUUUGCAGGAUCCAAGUGAUCCUAUAUCAACAACUUUUUUUAUUACAAAGGCGUCUGCACUGACUUUAGUUUAUUUGAACUCGUCAUUAAACCCUAUUCUUUACUGUUGGAAGAUCAAAUCCAUCAGACAUGCUGUGAAAAUCAGAUUAAAAAAACUACUUUCUCUUUAGCUCUUGACGAAAUAUCGAUCUCGAUCAAUAUAUCGACACCAGCGACACAUAGUUUUAAAUAACGUCUGAGCCAUCGAAUUUGAAUAUUAAAGCACGCAUUGCCAGUCAAUAUAACAACAUGACGUAUUUCAUUCGUUGUCGUAAAGGCAUAUACCAAAAUGAUGUACGCGAUUAAUUCAUCAAAUAAAGAUACAAAAUCAACAUCAUUCGUUUCAUGUCCUCUCCAA